AUUGCUUCUGCACCUUUUGGCUAAGAUCAAGUGUAAUAUCUGUUCUUAUCAGUAAAAUAGAAAUUAGAGUAGCCUUUACUCUAAUCUUGCUUUUUAUUUUUUAAUUUCAUCCCCUGGGUACCAACUCUAAUGUAGGGAACUACUGCCAUCUUUCAAGGUUGGUAAAAACCUA
ensembl:snRNA U2 U2 spliceosomal RNA